AGGGACUUAGGAUAACAUAAAACCAAAAGCCUUCAAAGCUUUAAAUAGAAGUGAAAAUCUUCUAGUCCCUG
rnacentral:tRNA from 1 species